rnacentral:lncRNA from 10 species
AUAGAAAUGAUAGUUUUCAGCUUUCUAAGAGGGAACAUACUUAUGUUAGUCCAUUUUCACACUGCUAUAAAGAAAUAACCAAGACUGGACAAUUUAUAAAGGAAAGAGGUUUAAUUGACUCACAGUUCUGCAUGGCUGCAGAGGCCUCGGGAAACUUACAAUCGUGGCAGAAGGCGAAGCACGCACCUCCUGCAUAAGGCGGCAGGAGAGAGAAGAGUGAGGAGCGAAAGAGGAAGAGCUUCUUAUAAAACCAUCAUAUUUCUUGAGAAGUAACUCACUAUCACAAGAGCAGCAUGGGGGAAGCGGCCAUAUCAUAUCAAUACUACCAUAUCAAUACUACUGCAGUUCACACCAUUCACAUGAGAAUUUUAGAGGGAAAAAUAUUUACAAUUCAACUGCUCCAAAUGAAACUAGUAUAAGAUUCUUUAUGAUGCAAGUCUACUUUCAAAAUGUCAAAAUGAUGAACCAUUUUCUGCUUUCAUCCAGCCUGCUUCCCAAGAUGGAAAUAUAUAUGGAGCAUUUGCUGUAUCCCAUGUAUUAUACUGAGCAUUGGGGAUGCCAAGUUGUAACAUGAUGCUUGGAGAGCUAGCUGCAGUGGGGGGAAAUGAAGAUGACCCACAAUGAACUCCAUUCCAGUGAUGCUCUUCUUCUGGUAUCAGAGAACCACUGUAGAUUGCUGAAGCCAAAAAAGAGACAGAUGUGUCUCCCAGAGCCAAGGGCAUAAGCACAGCAGAGCCUCAGGAAAGACUGGAGCCAAACCAGGGCCUGGAAAGUCCACGGUAACUCUGAAAGUGUUCUUCACAGCCUAUCAAUUCUCAAUGUUUGUGUGAAUCCGCUUAUUCUGUCUCUCUCUGUCCCUCUCCCUCUGCUAAGUAGAUUCCUCACUGUCCAAUCUGCAUGGUGGCAGAUGGUCUUUUAAAUUUCCUGAGUUUUGAUUAUGGGACCAUACAUGUAGUGAGACUAAAUCUUAAUUUGUAGAUGGAGGACUUUGGUUGGUUUGACUUAAGACAGAUGCCCGUUCAUCACUGGCCACUUGACUCUAUAUUGUUUAAACAAGCCGCAAGGGCAUAAUAGAGGGAACUUUUAGGGGAGUUCGAUGAAAGGUAUGAAGACAACCAAAAUAGUUAUCACCAUAGGAGACUGAAUAUGUUUCUAUGUGCUCAUUGGUCAUUUGAAUGCCUACAUAUUAGAAUUACCAAUGUAUAUUCUUUGCCCAUUUUACUAAUGGUGUGUUCAUCAAUUUCAUACUAAUUUGAAAGUGCUAUUUAUUUAUUAUAGUUAUUAUCCCCUUUCCACCUAUAUUUAAAUUUACCUACUGGUUGUCAUGUAAUUUUUUAUUUUGUUUAUGGUCCCUUUUCAGCCCCAAGGUUUCAAAGUCAUGUAAAUGUAUCAACUCUGAAGUAAGAUUCCAUUAGUUCUCCUCAGGUUCUAUAACUACUUGCUGAGAGUUCAUGGACAAGUUUAAUUUCUCAACACUUUGGUUUCUACCUUUUGGAAAAUGAAUCUAAUCCCCUACUACUCUACAGGUUUAUUGUAAGGAUUAAAUAAGUUUUUACAUAUAAAAUACUUGACACAAUGUUUGAAAUAAAAAAAAACUGCUGAGCGAACAGCUGUCAUUUUUUUUUGUUCUUUUGCUUAAAAGGGCCAUCUAACCUCAAUUUUCUUUAAGAAAACCUUAUUUUAAUUGACUUUUUAUCAUUGCAUUACUUUAUAUUUUAUAUUCAACUGUUAAAUUUAUGUCCAAUUAUUUUAGUGUAUGAUAUGAGAGAGAGAUUUCACCUCAUUUUAUAGAUUUGUCUAAAUGCCCAACAUUAUUUAUAGAUUAAUUAUUCUUGUUCCACUAGUUUGAAAUACCACCACUUUAACAUUAUAAUUUAUUAAGUAUCUGAGUCUGUCUUGGGGAGCAUUUUAUUAUAUUCUAUUUUUUGGCAAGUAUUACUGUUUUAAAACAGUAUAUAGAAGUAUUUCCCUAAGUAUUCUUUGUUAUCUCACAAAAGUUUGUCUCAUUUUUCUUUGAAUUCUUUAUUGACUACAUUUACCAAUUUACUUUUCCACGUGAGUGUUACUUUAUGAAAUUAUUUUUCUCCUACCCCUACAUAUGCCUAAGAUAUUUUGUUGCAGAAAUUCUGUUCUGAAGAUUUUAUGUCUUUAUUAUUGCCUUUUCAUCUAAAAACAGAUUUUUGUUGAAAUUUUCUCUUUUUCUAUGCCUACGACCGCAAUUUCUUCUGGGACAAAGAGUCUCUCAUUCCUUUCCACCCUGCAAAUCUCACUUGAAUGCCUCUCAUUUAUAAUCUCUAACCCAGACCCAUAUAAAGAAGGGGAUUCUGGGAUUUGUAGUUCCUGACUUCUCCUAGGCAGUACGCAAAGUAGACCUCAGUACCUAGUGGAGAUAGCUGUCAAGUUGUUAUGAGAUAAUUCAGCACAUGAGGCAUCCUUCUGUGGUUCUCAGGUUGGGAGAGUAACUCAAUAUUUCCUGGAAUGUGAACGUUGUUCACUGUUGGUUUGAUAUAAAAAUCUUUAUCACAUUAAAGAAGCCUCAUUCUAGUCUUCCAAAUUUACUAAAAAGUUUUUAUCAGGAAUAAAUGUUGAAUUACACCGAAUGUCUCCCUUUUCUAAACUCUCCUUCUUUGAUUACUAUGACCUCAUUCUCUCCUAUUUCCUUCUUACUUUUUAAUCCAUUCAUUCUUAUUACCUUUUGCUUACUUUUUAUUCUACAUUUUCCUUUUCAAUACUGGUAUUACCAAGGAGUACAUCCUUGGUUUGUUUUUUACUUUAUUUACUCACUAUUGUUAUAGUUUUAUCUCCAACUCAGAUUUACUGAACUCUAAGCAUAUAUUUCCAACUGUUUAUUGAAUUUCUGUAUAUGACUGAACAUGGGUAAGUCAAACUCUGUCAUAAAAUGAAGGCCUUGUUUUUCCCUACAAACCAAUUACUCUGCUAACACCAAUUCAUCCCUUUUUUGUAGUUGAAUAAGGGCAAAAUCCCCUACUCAAUGGCUGGAAACAUCAGCCUAAUCUUCAACCUUCUCUUAUCCAGUGAAUCAUAAUUUUGCUUUAGAAAUAUAGUCUGAAUAUGCCUUCCCUAGUGUGUUUAUGUUCAAAAUCUUAUCAUCUCUACCUAAGGUGGUAGUGCAGCAAUCUUCUAAAAGAUCUGUCUCCAUAUCUUCUCUGCACAUCAAUCUCUUCUCCCAACAUUUGCCUCAUACCAGAAUUAUCUUUCAUACAUAUGAAAUGGAUACUGUCUUCUCCUUAUUCAAAAAAUGUUGAUCAGUACACAAAUAAAGUUAGAUAGAAUAAGCCGUAAUAUUUAAUAGCACAGCUAGGUGACUACAGUCAACAAUAAUUUAUUGUACAUUUUUAAAUAACUAAGAGUAUAAUUGGAAUAUUUGUAACAUAAAGAAAUUAAAAAUGUUUAAGGUGAUGGAUGCCCCAUUUACCCUGAUGUGAUUAAUAUGUAUUGUAUGCCUAUAUCAAAAUAUCUCAUAUGUUAGAUGAAUAUAUGCAGCUACAAUGUACCCAUGAAAAUUAAAAACUAAAAAAAAACUUUGUUGGCUUGCUCUUAAUAACUGGACAACAUUAGAAUGCAUUGGGUACAUACAAAAGGCCCUGAACUUUUUACACUUUUUUCUUCAUUGGUAGUCGCUGUCCCUGGUUAUGUUAUAGAGUCACUACUUUACACUUUCUCAUAUUCUAUUCACAUUUCAAUAAUGCAUCCUCCAUUUUUGCCUAUAUAGAAACCUCCUGUUGCUCAUUCAAGACUUUUCAAAAAUCAACUCCUCUCUAAAGUCUUUCUGAGUCUCCAGGUGUAGUCUUACCCAAAUUCCCUUUCCAUUUACCUGACUAAAUUGUAAUCAUUUGUUUACAUAAUAUUUUUCCGUUAGAUUUGAGUUCCUUGAGGCUGAGGUCAUGUCUGAUGCUUCUGUGUGUCUCUGGGACAUAGCAAUGAUUAAGUCCUCAAUGAACAUUAAAUGGCUGAAUGCAUAUAUGUCUCAAAGAUCUGCAACAUAUGGCAAACAUUAGAUUUAGUCAAUAAAAUGAAUGAAAGAAAAAUUGAUGAAAGAUUUAAAAUAAUCACAAUUUUUAGACCAAGGCUACCACCUCUGGCCACAUGACAUUUGCCAAUUUAUGAAAUGAUUUAAUUGAAAAUGAAAGGCCCUGAUGAAUUAUAUAGUCUGUUCUAUUCCUAACCUCCCUGAAUCUUAGACCUUUUAUCAAUAAUAGCAGAUAUAAUAACAUUCUUAUAUGUCAGAAUUAUUGUGACAAUAAAAUGAACUGUGUGUAGGAAAGCUCUUUUAAAUUUGGAAAAGCUGGAGAGAUGUGAAAGGAGUUUAUUACUUCAUAUUUAAUGCUGUAAGUCAAUCUUGUGUGUUUGGGAAAAUCUUUAAAUCAGGGCUUUUCUAUAAAGAGUUAUUGGCCCUUACCUGUUGGUAAUCCCUCAGCUCACGGCCUAAUAAGUAAGACAUAAUCAGAUAUUCACAUAAUAUUUUCAAAAUACACAUCCUUAGUUUCAGUUUAAUCAAGCAUUUAAUGUAAAUACAGAGUAUCUGCAUUGUAUACCUUUCCAGAGACUAUAGCUUCCUGAUUCUAAACCUCUCUAAG